rnacentral:snRNA from 1 species
ACCUCAUAUUAGCCUAGAGAAAC